CUUUCCGUAGCGUAAUUGGAUAACGCAAUCGCCUCCUAAGCGAUAGACUGUGGGUUCAAUUCCCGCCGGAAAGGCCA
rnacentral:tRNA from 1 species